CUACGGGUUGCACCAGUGAGGAAUAUUGCGCAAUGGGGGCAACCCUGACGCAGCGACGCCGCGUGAGUGAGGAAGGCCUUCGGGUCGUAAAGCUCUGUCAAGAGGAAAGAAGUGCAUAGUAGUUAAUACCUGCUAUGUUUGACGGUACCUCUAAAGGAAGCACCGGCUAGCUCCGUGCCAGCAGCCGCGGUAAUACGGAGGGUGCAAGCGUUGUUCGGAAUCACUGGGCGUAAAGGGCGCGCAGGCGGCCUGGUAAGUCAGAUGUGAAAGCCCACGGCUUAACCGUGGAAGUGCAUUUGAAACUGUCAGGCUUGAGUACCAGAGGGGAAAGUGGAAUUCCCGGUGUAGAGGUGAAUUCGUAGAUAUCGGGAGGAAUACCGGUGGCGAAGGCGACUUUCUGGCUGAGUACUGACGCUGAGGCGCGAAAGCGUGGGGAGCAAACAGGAUUAGAUACCCCUGUAGUC
rnacentral:rRNA from 1 species